rnacentral:rRNA from 1 species
GGGUUGUGAGGUUAAGCGACUAAGCGUACACGGUGGAUGCCCUGGCAGUCAGAGGCGAUGAAGGACGUGCUAAUCUGCGAAAAGCGCCGGCGAGGUGAUAUGAACCUUUGACCCGGCGAUGUCCGAAUGGGGAAACCCAGUGUGUUCCGACACACUAUCGUUAACUGAAUACAUAGGUUAACGAGGCGAACCGGGGGAACUGAAACAUCUAAGUACCCCGAGGAAAAGAAAUCAACCGAGAUUCCCCCAGUAGCGGCGAGCGAACGGGGAGCAGCCCAGAGUCUGAAUCAGCUUGUGUGUUAGUGGAAGCGUCUGGAAAGUCGCACGGUACAGGGUGACAGUCCCGUACACGAAAGCACACAGGCUGUGAACUCGAAGAGUAGGGCGGGACACGUGGUAUCCUGUCUGAAUAUGGGGGGACCAUCCUCCAAGGCUAAAUACUCCUGACUGACCGAUAGUGAACCAGUACCGUGAGGGAAAGGCGAAAAGAACCCCGGCGAGGGGAGUGAAAAAGAACCUGAAACCGUGUACGUACAAGCAGUGGGAGCCUCUUUUAUGGGGUGACUGCGUACCUUUUGUAUAAUGGGUCAGCGACUUAUAUUCUGUAGCAAGGUUAACCGUAUAGGGGAGCCGAAGGGAAACCGAGUCUUAACUGGGCGUUAAGUUGCAGGGUAUAGACCCGAAACCCGGUGAUCUAGCCAUGGGCAGGUUGAAGGUUGGGUAACACUAACUGGAGGACCGAACCGACUAAUGUUGAAAAAUUAGCGGAUGACUUGUGGCUGGGGGUGAAAGGCCAAUCAAACCGGGAGAUAGCUGGUUCUCCCCGAAAGCUAUUUAGGUAGCGCCUCGUGAACUCAUCUUCGGGGGUAGAGCACUGUUUCGGCUAGGGGGCCAUCCCGGCUUACCAACCCGAUGCAAACUACGAAUACCGAAGAAUGUUAUCACGGGAGACACACGGCGGGUGCUAACGUCCGUCGUGAAGAGGGAAACAACCCAGACCGCCAGCUAAGGUCCCAAAGUCAUGGUUAAGUGGGAAACGAUGUGGGAAGGCACAGACAGCCAGGAUGUUGGCUUAGAAGCAGCCAUCAUUUAAAGAAAGCGUAAUAGCUCACUGGUCGAGUCGGCCUGCGCGGAAGAUGUAACGGGGCUAAACCAUGCACCGAAGCUGCGGCAGCGACACUAUGUGUUGUUGGGUAGGGGAGCGUUCUGUAAGCCGUUGAAGGUGUCCUGUGAGGGGUGCUGGAGGUAUCAGAAGUGCGAAUGCUGACAUAAGUAACGAUAAAGCGGGUGAAAAGCCCGCUCGCCGGAAGACCAAGGGUUCCUGUCCAACGUUAAUCGGGGCAGGGUGAGUCGACCCCUAAGGCGAGGCCGAAAGGCGUAGUCGAUGGGAAACAGGUUAAUAUUCCUGUACUUGGUGUUACUGCGAAGGGGGGACGGAGAAGGCUAUGUUAGCCGGGCGACGGUUGUCCCGGUUUAAGCAUGUAGGCGGAGGUUCCAGGUAAAUCCGGUUCCUUGUUAACGCUGAGGUGUGAUGACGAGGCACUACGGUGCUGAAGUAACAAAUGCCCUGCUUCCAGGAAAAGCCUCUAAGCAUCAGGUAACAUCAAAUCGUACCCCAAACCGACACAGGUGGUCAGGUAGAGAAUACCAAGGCGCUUGAGAGAACUCGGGUGAAGGAACUAGGCAAAAUGGUGCCGUAACUUCGGGAGAAGGCACGCUGAUAUGUAGGUGAAGCCCCUGCGGGUGGAGCUGAAAUCAGUCGAAGAUACCAGCUGGCUGCAACUGUUUAUUAAAAACACAGCACUGUGCAAACACGAAAGUGGACGUAUACGGUGUGACGCCUGCCCGGUGCCGGAAGGUUAAUUGAUGGGGUUAGCGGCAACGCGAAGCUCUUGAUCGAAGCCCCGGUAAACGGCGGCCGUAACUAUAACGGUCCUAAGGUAGCGAAAUUCCUUGUCGGGUAAGUUCCGACCUGCACGAAUGGCGUAAUGAUGGCCAGGCUGUCUCCACCCGAGACUCAGUGAAAUUGAACUCGCUGUGAAGAUGCAGUGUACCCGCGGCAAGACGGAAAGACCCCGUGAACCUUUACUAUAGCUUGACACUGAACACUGGUCCUUGAUGUGUAGGAUAGGUGGGAGGCUUUGAAGCGUGGACGCCAGUCUGCGUGGAGCCAACCUUGAAAUACCACCCUUUAAUGGCUGGUGUUCUAACGUAGACCCGUGAUCCGGGUUGCGGACAGUGUCUGGUGGGUAGUUUGACUGGGGCGGUCUCCUCCCAAAGAGUAACGGAGGAGCACGAAGGUUAGCUAAUCCUGGUCGGACAUCAGGAGGUUAGUGCAAUGGCAUAAGCUAGCUUGACUGCGAGAGUGACGGCUCGAGCAGGUGCGAAAGCAGGUCAUAGUGAUCCGGUGGUUCUGAAUGGAAGGGCCAUCGCUCAACGGAUAAAAGGUACUCCGGGGAUAACAGGCUGAUACCGCCCAAGAGUUCAUAUCGACGGCGGUGUUUGGCACCUCGAUGUCGGCUCAUCACAUCCUGGGGCUGAAGUAGGUCCCAAGGGUAUGGCUGUUCGCCAUUUAAAGUGGUACGCGAGCUGGGUUUAGAACGUCGUGAGACAGUUCGGUCCCUAUCUGCCGUGGGCGCUGGAGAAUUGAGGGGGGCUGCUCCUAGUACGAGAGGACCGGAGUGGACGCAUCACUGGUGUUCGGGUUGUCAUGCCAAUGGCACUGCCCGGUAGCUAAAUGCGGAAGAGAUAAGUGCUGAAAGCAUCUAAGCACGAAACUUGCCCCGAGAUGAGUUCUCCCUGAGACUUUAAGUCUCCUGAAGGAACGUUGAAGACUACGACGUUGAUAGGUCGGGUGUGUAAGCGCAGCGAUGCGUUGAGCUAACCGAUACUAAUGAACCGUGAGGCUUAACCUUACAACGCCGAAGGUGUUU